GAUGAACGCUGGCGGCGUGCCUAAUACAUGCAAGUCGAGCGAACAGACGAGGAGCUUGCUCCUCUGACGUUAGCGGUGGACGGGUGAGUAACACGUGAAUAACCUACCUAUAAGACUGGGAUAACUUCGGGAAACCGGAGCUAAUACCGGAUAACAUGUUGAACCGCAUGGUUCAACAGUGAAAGACGGUCUUGCUGUCACUUAUAGAUGGAUCCGCGCCGCAUUAGCUAGUUGGGAAGGUAACGGCUUACCAAGGCAACGAUGCGUAGCCGACCUGAGAGGGUGAUCGGCCACACUGGAACUGAGACACGGUCCAGACUCCUACGGGAGGCAGCAGUAGGGAAUCUUCCGCAAUGGGCGAAAGCCUGACGGAGCAACGCCGCGUGAGUGAAGAAGGUCUUCGGAUCGUAAAACUCUGUUAUUAGGGAAGAACAAAUGUGUAAGUAACUAUGCACGUCUUGACGGUACCUAAUCAGAAAGCCACGGCUAACUACGUGCCAGCCGCCGCCGUAA
rnacentral:rRNA from 1 species